AUUCGGUGGUGCAAUAGUUACCGCAUCUGACUGUUGUGCCGAAGGUCGUGGGUUCGAUUCCCACACUGGAUA
rnacentral:tRNA from 1 species